rnacentral:rRNA from 1 species
UACGAAGGGGGCUAGCGUUGUUCGGAAUUACUGGGCGUAAAGCGCACGUAGGCGGAUUGUUAAGUUAGGGGUGAAAUCCCAGGGCUCAACCCUGGAACUGCCUUUAAUACUGGCAAUCUAGAGUCCGAGAGAGGUGAGUGGAAUUCCGAGUGUAGAGGUGAAAUUCGUAGAUAUUCGGAGGAACACCAGUGGCGAAGGCGGCUCACUGGAUCUUUUCUGACGCUGAGGCGCGAAAGCUAGGGGAG